GACAGAGGGUGCAAACGUUGUUCGGAAUUACUGGGCGUAAAGCGCGUGUAGGCGGCUAAGUAAGUCGGGCGUGAAAUCCCACGGCUCAACCGUGGAAGUGCACUCGAAACUGCAUAGCUAGAGUCCUGGAGAGGAAGGUGGAAUGCUUGGUGUAGAGGUGAAAUUCGUAGAUAUCAAGCGGAACACCGGUGGCGAAGGCGGCCUUCUGGACAGUGACUGACGCUGGGACGCGGAAAGCGUGGGGAGCAAACAGG
rnacentral:rRNA from 1 species